GAUGAAGAACGCAGCGAAAUGCGAUAAGUAAUGUGAAUUGCAGAAUUCAGUGAAUCAUCGAAUCUUUGAACGCACACUGCGCCCCCUGGUAUUCCGGGGGGCAUGCCUGUCCGAGCGUCAUUACAACCCUCAAGCUCAGCUUGGUGUUGGGCCCCGCCGCCCCGGCGGGCCCUAAAGUCAGUGGCGGUGCCGUCCGGCUCCGAGCGUAGUAAUUCUUCUCGCUCUGGAGGUCCGGUCGUGUGCUCGCCAGCAACCCCCAAUUUUUUUCAGGUUGACCUCGGAUCAGGUAGGGAUACCCGCUGAACUUAAGCAUAUCAAUAAGCGGAGGA
rnacentral:misc_RNA from 1 species